CCUGAGGAAAAGAAGGUUCAGUGACAGGCCCCAAGUGGGAUCCAGCUCAAGGGGAGGCUCUAAGACCUGACACCAUUACUGAGGCUAUAGGCAUUCACAAACAGGGACCUAUCAUGACUGCCCUCCAAAAGACCCAACAAGCAGCUGAAAGAGUCAGGUGCAGAUAUGUGCACCCAAUCAAUGAACGGAAGCUGCUGACCUCUCUGGUUGAAUUAGGGAAAAGCUGGAGGAAGCUGAGGAGGAGGGCAACCCUGUAGGAGGACCAGCAGUCUCCUGGACCCCCAAGAUCUCUCAGACACUCAACCAACAACCAGGCAGCAUCCACCAGCUGAGAUGAGGCCUCCCUCCCACACAUAUAUCGCAGAGGACUGCCUGGUCUGGGUUCAGUCAGAGAAGAUGCAUCUAACCCUCAAGUGAAGUUUAGAGGUCUGGUGGGGAGGGUGAAGAGGGGACAUCCUUUGGAGACACCGGGGGUGGGUGUUAUGGGAUGUGGAUCUGUCAGGGGGAUAGACUGGGAGGGGAAUAAAAUCCGGAGUAUAAAAAUAAAUAAAUAAAAUUUAAGAGAAA
rnacentral:lncRNA from 1 species